rnacentral:rRNA from 1 species
GACGAACGCUGGCGGCGUGCUUAACACAUGCAAGUCGAACGGAAAGGCCCUGCUUUUGUGGGGUGCUCGAGUGGCGAACGGGUGAGUAACACGUGAGUAACCUGCCCUUGACUUUGGGAUAACUUCAGGAAACUGGGGCUAAUACCGGAUAGGAGCUCCUGCUGCAUGGUGGGGGUUGGAAAGUUUCGGCGGUUGGGGAUGGACUCGCGGCUUAUCAGCUUGUUGGUGGGGUAGUGGCUUACCAAGGCUUUGACGGGUAGCCGGCCUGAGAGGGUGACCGGCCACAUUGGGACUGAGAUACGGCCCAGACUCCUACGGGAGGCAGCAGUGGGGAAUAUUGCACAAUGGGCGAAAGCCUGAUGCAGCAACGCCGCGUGCGGGAUGACGGCCUUCGGGUUGUAAACCGCUUUCGCCUGUGACGAAGCGUGAGUGACGGUAAUGGGGAAAGAAGCACCGGCUAACUACGU